GACGAACGCUGGCGGCGUGCUUAACACAUGCAAGUCGAGCGGACAGACCCUGCUUUUGUGGCGUUCUCGAUUGGCGAAGGGGGGAGUAUCACGUGUGUAACCUGCCCUUGACUUUGGGAUAACUUCAGGAAACUGGGGCUCAUACCGGAUAGAAUCUCCUGCUGCAUGGUGUGGGUUGGUGAGUUUCGGCGGUUGGGUAUGGACUCGCUGCUUAUCGGCUUGUUGGUGGGGUAGUGGCUGACGAAGGCUUUGACGGGUAGCCGGCCUGAGAGGGUGAACGGCCACCUUGGGACUGAGAUACGGCCCAGAAUCCUACGGGAGGCAGCAGUGGGGAAUAUUGCAGAAUGGGCGGAAGCCAGAUGCAGCAACGCCGCGUGCGGGAUGACGGGCUUCUGGUGGUAAACCGAUUUCGACGGUGACGAAGCGUGAGUGACGGUAAUGGGUAAAGAAGCACCGGCUAACUACGUG
rnacentral:rRNA from 1 species